AAGGGGACUGAGCAUCUGCAUUUCUCCUCUUACAGUCUGCAAAAGUUGUAUCGUGAAGUACCUGCAGACCAGCAAGUACUGCCCCAUGUGUAACAUCAAGAUCCACGAGACGCAGCCGUUGCUCAAUCUCAAACUGGAUCGGGUCAUGCAGGACAUAGUGUAUAAGCUAGUACCAGGCUUGCAAGACAGUGAGUGGCCACCUUAUGCUUGUGGGGCCUCCUGACUCUAACGCUGGGUGGCACCUUGAAGUUUUGUUCCCAACAGUUUUGUUGGGAAUCAAAAAAUAAAGAGAUAAAAAGGUCAACAACCAGGACAAAGAGAAUUAAUAUGGCCGCCCCUCACCCCUUCUUAGGUGAAGAGAAACGGAUUCGGGAAUUCUAUCAGUCCCGAGGCUUGGACAGAGUCUCCCAG
rnacentral:lncRNA from 1 species